rnacentral:tRNA from 1 species
GGCUUCAUAGCUCAGUUGGUAGAGCAACGCACCAGUAACGCGGAGGUCAUGGGUUCAAAUCCCGUUGAAGCCA